ensembl:lncRNA
GGGGGGAAAGAAAAGUUGACUUCCUUUACUUCAGGAGAAGUUUCAGUUCAGGCUUCCCUGACAGAGGUUUGGAAUUUAAAUGUGCUGUUGCAGUGCAUUUGAUCUGAUCGAGCACAGUAGUGGGUGGUUGUUAUAAGAUGAAAAAGUAUAAACAGCUAAAACCUGAGGUAACUUGGAAAAAAGGAAUAUUGCAUGUUGAAAUGAAACAGCCAUUACAGGAAAGAGAUUUUUUAUGUCUCCAAGUGAGGAAUGUUGCUGAUUGAGUUACACUGCUGCUGCAGACAGGGCCUAACGUUUGUGCACAGCUUCGGGGUUUGUGCCUUGUUCCCUGGAGGGAUGGAUGUGCUGCUACCCAGCCCUCCACACCUACCUCAAAACCAGCCCCCUCCAGCCAGCAGGCACUGUUUGCCUGCACAUCCAGGCUGAGGGAGCUCCAAGUGUGAUCUCAGCUGCACCUCCCCUGCUCUCAGGCACCCAGACAGAAGUUUAAAAGCAGUUUAUUGGGUUCUACCAUUUUAAUUCUUGAAUUGUAAGCUAAAUGAAAUGCAAAAACUAAAAUCAGGAACCAGCCACCUGACCUGGAGUCAAGAAUGAAGUUAAUGGGAGUUUUGUCAAAGAUUUUGGUAGAGCCUGGCUUUUUGCCCUGAUGUGCCAAAGGAAAAAAAAACAAAACAAAACAAAAAAAAAAAACCCAACUUUUUUUCCCUCUGCCCCAGGUUUAAUACAUAUAUGCUGAUCACCUUUCUCAUUUAAUUACAAUUAUUACAAUAAAAUCCAGGUUGGACAUCUAUAGGUAUUUCUCUAAAGGUUUUUAUGAAACCAGCUCUGUGUCCCCUGAUGAAGGAAGAACCACAGUGACAGUGGAGCAUUCCCUACUGUGGGAAAGGAGUUUGGCAAAGCAGAGCUGGGAGAAGAUUUCAGCCCAGCAGUCACAGGUUUCAGCCCCUGGAAGCCACUCCCAAUAGCUCAGCAGGGACUCUCUGCACCCCUUUGCUCCCUCCCACAGGGUUCUCACACUCUCCCCUCACUCUUCUUUGUGUGCUGCAAUGUUCAUUGUAAAACUUUGCUUGAUUUUCAGCUGAGUUUUCCUCCAGGAAGUUACAAACGCAUGAAUAACCAGUGACCAUGAAUAACCAGUUCUUCUAUCUACAAUACCUCUUUAUUUGAAAUGAAGGGAUGGUUUAUGAUAUUUUCAUUAUUGCAAUCAUAUCAAUAUUUGGGAUUUUCAGGUAAAGUGAUUUUGUGCAUGUUACAAAAAACAACCUUUAAAAUAAUUUUAACCUAAAUUCAAGUACUUUAAGUGCAUUUAAAAUAUUUAUAUUAAUGCUGUAAGGAGAUACUGACAAUUUAAUUAUUUUUUCUAAGCAGCUUCCAUCCUUUUGUUUUAUUUUUAAACAGUUCUCAGAACCUUUUUGUUUUCUGGCAUCCUAUCAAAAUGCUAAUGCAGAAGGAGAGCAGCAGAGAAGUUCUCCAUGUUUCAUGAUAGUAGGAACUGUCCUGCAUAACGAGAGAUUUAACAGGUUAAAUGUAUCAUCUGAGAUACGCAUUGGAGGUACUAUUCUUCUCAUAUUACCUUGCAUUCCUAAGUGGUACAUCUCUCCUACUAUACUUUUGCAUUUGUCAUCCUAAAAUAAUCCUUGAGUUUAAAUAAAUGUUAAAAGAAGCCAAUCAAUGUUUGCACUUAUCUGCUUUCAAGCACAGUGAACACAACCUAUUUUAGAUACUCUCAUUAGUAUUCACAAACCAGUUGACCUUUUUAAUCCCAUCAUUAUGUAAAAGACAGAAAACAUUUUUUCUCUUCCUUACAGUGAAGUUAUUGCUGAGGAGAAUAUAAUUAAUAUACGGAAGACAAGAUGAUAUUGACUCUUGCAGCUGCCCUCUGCUCAGCAGAGAAGGAGUUGUUCAGAGCAUUACACUGGGCUCUCAGCCGUGAAUACAGCUGUAAUGCCAUAAUCCCAGCUCGGCAUUGUCGGCCUGAUCCCGUGUGCCUUGCACAAACAGCGCUGCACUUCGGGCAAAGGGUAGUCUGGGAUGCCAAAGAGGUUUUAAUAUAAGUGCCCCUUUGUCAUUUAUAUAAA